rnacentral:rRNA from 1 species
UACAGAGGUCCCAAGCGUUGUUCGGAUUCACUGGGCGUAAAGGGCGCGUAGGCGGCGCGAGAAGUCGAGUGUGAAAGCCCCGGGCUCAACCUGGGAAUUGCGCUCGAUACUCUUGUGCUUGAGUUCGGGAGAGGAGCGUGGAAUUCCCAGUGUAGAGGUGAAAUUCGUAGAUAUUGGGAAGAACACCGGUGGCGAAGGCGGCGCUCUGGACCGAGACUGACGCUGAGGCGCGAAAGCGUGGGGAGCAAACAGG